rnacentral:lncRNA from 1 species
GAUUAGAGCACUUGAUUGUGAAGGGGGAACACAAAGAUGGCACAUAUGCAAAAAAACACACACACACACACAUUGCAGCUGUGACAACAGCAUUGGAACCCAAACCCAAGUGGUUGCCAAAGAGCUUUCUAACACACAACAAACUCUUGUUGAGCUCCACUGACCCACUCAAUGACUAGCACUUUGUUGCCAUGGCCCCAAGUGCCCGCAUGGCAAUCCUAUGUGGCCACAUCAUGUGCCACUUCACCACUACAUUGGUUCAAUUUUUUGCUAUGCUAGCCAAAAUCCCCAUCCUUAGAGUUGUAGAAGAUGUGAAGAAGAAGAUCUUUUAGGGCUAGUGUAUGUGUUUUAUGAAUUAUUGGAAGUGAGAAUAAUUAUGUUUCCAUGGGUGUUUCAAGUCCUAAUUCAAUGACUAGCUAUUUGUUCAUUAACUUACUUGCUUGUACUAACAAUUUCAUCACAAUUCACUGAUUAGCUGCAAAUCAAUUGUUGCCUACUCACAUCACAUGUUAACAAACUCAACAUACUGCCUGUUUAAGUACAUUGUUGUUGGAACGUUAACUAAUACAUGAUUGUGGCUACAUCAUACUAAUACAUGUAUUAGUAUAAGGGAAUGAUUUAU